rnacentral:lncRNA from 1 species
AUGCCCGUAGAGAGCGGCGGGUCACAUGACAUGCUCUCAUUCAUGGGAUGGUUUCUGACCAUUUGUCUCAAACCCACUGUAGGCCAACCUCAGAGUGGAGCCAACACGGAGGAGAGAGGGGCUGGGACUAAGCAUAUUCCGAAGCUGGGGGCAGUGUGCCAAAUACCAAUGGAAAAAACCUCGGGUCCCUCAGUUUCUGAGCGGCUCCGGAGUCACCACUCUGACAGAAGAGGAGGGAAUCACACAAGCAGUGGAAGGCAUGCCAACAAAGACUUCAGAAACCAUCAGAGCCAGAGGAAAUAUCGGGCAGGAACUUCAUAUUCCCAUCUACCUCAGGAAAGACAUGCUAUAAACACCAGAUAUGGGGACCAUGCUAAAUCCAACCAAUCACAUCGAACUGAACAGGAGCUGGUAGGACCCUUGCCUGUAAAGAGAUCUCGACAUUUUUGCCCCCGAGCAUCAAAGAAAAGCAAGGGCCGCACUUCGCACAAGAGAAAUUCCAAGAAAAAGUCAAGAGGGAGAGGCCGAAAAUAGGUAAGUAGAGCAACACGUCUAUAAAGUGGUAUUAGGGGAGACUAGUAAUAAAUGGUUUCACUAAGGAGACUGAUAGAGUGUU